UACGAAGGGGGCAAGCGUUGUUCGGAAUUACUGGGCGUAAAGGGCGCGUAGGCGGCUUACCAAGUCAGGCGUGAAAUUCCCGGGCUCAACCUGGGGGCUGCGCUUGAUACUGGUGAGCUUGAAUGCGGGAGAGGAUAGUGGAAUUCCCAGUGUAGAGGUGAAAUGCGUAGAUAUCAGGAGGAACACCGGUGGUGUAGACGGCUCACUGGACCAUAACUGACGCUGAGACACGAAAGCGUGGGUAGCAAACAGG
rnacentral:rRNA from 1 species